GGACUUUUGUUACAAGAAAAACAAAAACAAAGGAAUAAUAAAUUAUAGUAUUUCAAAUACUACAUGAGAAGCUAGAGCCCAAAUGUAUACAAGUUACAACGAGAGAGAAUGGGCCAAAUUGGCAGUUCAUAGUCAGAAUAAACUAAUACAAGUCUAGUUGAAAAGCUUGCCGAUCAGUUAGUAUUGGACAAAUUAACGAGGAGACAUAUUUUCCAAAACAUUUUGUCUACCUUUUUUUUUUCUUCUAAUUUCAAACCAAGAGCCUUAGGUAAUAUAUAUGAAGUAUUAAGAAUAUCAACCCUUUAAUCUACACAUUAUCUUAAAAAAAA
rnacentral:misc_RNA from 1 species